CGGUUCGAGUCCGCUAACCUCCACUGACCGCCCCUAAGUGCACCCUCUAGUGAGUUCCAUUGCGUGAUGUGAUUUAGAAAUUCAGCUGAUAGAACCUAGCUUCUUAUCAUUCCAAUUCCAAAUAAAAAUACUUAAUUUGGAUUAGGUUGACAGGACGCUGGGCUCAUUGGAAUUUUUUAAUUCCAAGUAUGUUCGGCA
rnacentral:misc_RNA from 1 species